UACGAAGGGGGCUAGCGUUGCUCGGAAUUACUGGGCGUAAAGGGCGCGUAGGCGGUUCUAUAAGUCAGGCGUGAAAUUCCUGGGCUUAACCUGGGGGCUGCGCUUGAGACUGCGGGACUUGAGGUCAGAAGAGGGUCGUGGAAUUCCCAGUGUAGAGGUGAAAUUCGUAGAUAUUGGGAAGAACACCGGUGGCGAAGGCGGCGACCUGGUCUGAUACUGACGCUGAGGCGCGACAGCGUGGGGAGCAAACAGG
rnacentral:rRNA from 1 species